rnacentral:rRNA from 1 species
GAGGCUGAUGUGUAGGCAAAUCCGCACAUCGUAAGGCUGGGCUGUGAUGGGGAGGGAAAUUUUAAGUACCGAAGGUCAUGAGUUCACACUGCCAAGAAAAGCUUCUAGCCAGGCGAAGGUGCCCGUACCGCAAACCGACACAGGUGGGUGAGAAGAGAAUUCUAAGGCGCGCGGAAGAACUCUCGUUAAGGAACUCGGCAAAAUGACCCCGUAACUUCGGGAGAAGGGGUGCCUCGGUAGGGUGAAUAGCCCGAGGGGGCCGCAGUGAAAAGGCCCAAGCGACUGUUUAGCAAAAACACAGGUCUGUGCGAAGCCGCAAGGCGAAGUAUACGGGCUGACGCCUGCCCGGUGCUGGAAGGUUAAGAGGAGUGGUUAGGGACCUCGGUUCCGAAGCUAUGAAUUGAAGCCCCAGUAAACGGCGGCCGUAACUAUAACGGUCCUAAGGUAGCGAAAUUCCUUGUCAGGUAAAUUCUGACCCGCACGAAUGGCGUAACGACUUGGGCGCUGUCUCAACGAGAGAUCCGGUGAAAUUUUAAUACCUGUGAAGAUGCAGGUUACCCGCGACAAGACGGAAAGACCCCAUGGAGCUUUACUGCAGCUUGAUAUUGGACUUUGGUACGAUCUGUACAGGAUAGGUGGGAGCCUUUGAAGCCUGAGCGCCAGCUUGGGUGGAGGCGCCGUUGGGAUACCACCCUGAUCGUAUCGGAGUUCUAACCUGGUACCGUGAUCCGGUAUGGGGACAGUGUCAGGUGGGCAGUUUGACUGGGGCGGUCGCCUCCUAAAAUGUAACGGAGGCGUUUAAAGGUUCCCUCAGAAUGGUUGGAAAUCAUUCGCAGAGUGCAAAGGCAUAAGGGAGCUUGACUGCGAGACCUACAAGUCGAGCAGGGACGAAAGUCGGACUUAGUGAUCCGGUGGUACCGAAUGGAAGGGCCAUCGCUCAACGGAUAAAAGCUACCCUGGGGAUAACAGGCUUAUCUCCCCCAAGAGUCCACAUCGACGGGGAGGUUUGGCACCUCGAUGUCGGCUCAUCGCAUCCUGGGGCUGAAGUAGGUCCCAAGGGUUGGGCUGUUCGCCCAUUAAAGCGGUACGCGAGCUGGGUUCAGAACGUCGUGAGACAGUUCGGUCCCUAUCUGUCGCGGGCGUAGGAAAUUUGAGAGGAGCUGUCCUUAGUACGAGAGGACCGGGAUGGACGUACCGCUGGUGUACCAGUUGUCUCGCCAGAGGCAUCGCUGGGUAGCUAUGUACGGAGGGGAUAAGCGCUGAAAGCAUCUAAGCGCGAAGCCCCCCUCAAGAUGAGAUUUCCCAGUAUGUAAGACCCCUUGUAGACGACGAGGUUGAUAGGUUCGAGGUGGAAGUGCAGCAAUGCAUGCAGCUGACGAAUACUAAUCGGUCGAGGGCUUAACCAA